UUCUAUCUACCUCUAUCUUUUUGCUAUUUCUCUCUCAAACCUCUCUUCCCUUUUCUCUGACUUUUUUUCUUUUUCACUACUCUUCUGUUUUCAAUCUUCUUCCUCACAACUGGGGACAUCAUCUUCUUCAUCAAUUCAUUCAUCAUCAAUGGAAUCUGAAACGGCUUCUGACGGGACCAUCAAAUCUGAAAUUAAAACCACAAAAAUCACCAGAUUUGAAAUCAAAACCAAUGGAUCUGCAUUGUUCUACAUCAAUGAGGCAUAACAUAUCUAUUUCCUCAAUGAGUUUUUCUCUUAACUACUUUUUCACUAUUUGUAUGUUCUAUUUAUUCUAUUG